rnacentral:tRNA from 1 species
AUCUCGGUAGCUUAACACUAAAGCGUUAGACUUGUAAACUAAAAAUGGGACCCCCCCCGAGAUC